CUUUUCAACAACAGCACAUAAUUCCUCCCAGAUGGUGUUGUUGGUCAGGGUCAAGCAUCCUCCUCCCAGCUUGAUCCAAGAAUUAUGACCGGACUGCAUCCUCCUCCCGCAGUCCGGUCUUUUU
rnacentral:sRNA from 1 species